CGCAUAGUCGACAUCAUCUUCUCCUCCACGAGCAACCGACCACGUUGAAGGAGGACAAGAAGUUGUAAACCAAGUAGAGUUGGAUGCCAUUUCUCAUAGCAAAUAAUUGACUCUAAUUCUAAGUGCACAAACAUUAGAAGAUGCAAGCUUGCUCAGUUGCUGAUUUGGAGUCUUCUUGUUUAUAGUUUUGGAUUUCUAGUUUGCUCGAGUUGAUGUAUUGAUGUAUUUGAUCUUGCUCAGUUGAUGAUUUGAGUUUUUUAUGAUGUAUCUUCAGAUCAGUUCAUCCAUUGUAUAAUUUUGGAUUUCAAGUUUUUGAUGAUGUAUUCUCAAACUUGUUAUAGUUUUGGAUUUCAAGUUUUUAAUGAAGAAUUGAAAUGCAAUUUUUGCUA